GAUGAACGCUAGCGGCAGGCCUAACACAUGCAGGUCGAGGGAGAAGCCCUUUCGGGGGCAGAAACCGGCGCACGGGUGCGUAACGCGUAUGCAACCUACCUUUCACAGGGGGAUAGCCCGAAGAAAUUUGGAUUAAUACCCCAUAAUAUUAUUGGAUGGCAUCUUUUGAUAAUUAAAACUGCGGUGGUGAAAGAUGGGCAUGCGUCCUAUUAGCUAGUUGGAGUGGUAACGGCACCCCAAGGCUACGAUAGGUAGGGGUCCUGAGAGGGAGAUCCCCCACACUGGUACUGAGACAGGGACCAGACUCCUACGGGAGGCAGCAGUGAGGAAUAUUGGUCAAUGGUCGGAAGACUGAACCAGCCAUGCCGCGUGCAGGAAGAAUGCCUUAUGGGUUGUAAACUGCUUUUAUAUGGGAAGAAUAAGGUGUACGUGUACAUUGAUGACGGUACCAUAUGAAUAAGCAUCGGCUAACUCCGUG
rnacentral:rRNA from 1 species